rnacentral:rRNA from 1 species
CACGAAGGGGGCUAGCGUUGCUCGGAAUUACUGGGCGUAAAGGGCGCGUAGGCGGCGCAUUUAGUCAGGCGUGAAAUUCCUGGGCUCAACCUGGGGACUGCGCUUGAUACGGGUGUGCUAGAGGGCAGGAGAGGCUCGCGGAAUUCCCAGUGUAGAGGUGAAAUUCGUAGAUAUUGGGAAGAACACCGGUGGCGAAGGCGGCGAGCUGGUCCAUUACUGACGCUGAGGCGCGACAGCGUGGGGAGCAAACAGG